UGAAAGAAUGAGGAACCUCAAAAAGGGGCCGGUUUUGGGAAGCUUUUCCGUAAUUGCCUAAAUUUCUUUGCCAAGUAUUUGAUCAAAAGUAAAUGUGGGGUAUGAGCCAAUUCCUUUCAGCUCGUAAAAGUAAAUGUGGGGUAUGAGCCAAUUCCUUUCAGCUCGUUGACCUUUCUACUUUGGAUGAUGAGAAGUGCAUCUUCUUAUUCAUUCGUUCACAAGGGAGUUAAAGGGAUUAAUGAGUGAAGAUAAAAAAAAAUUAAUGACAUCUGGUUAAACUCUGUACUUAAUACAAAUAUAGCAGAAAAAGAUUAUGUACCUGCUAAAAAAAAUUAGAUUAAAAGAAGAAAUGAAACGUUAGAAUAAAGAGAAUGCCUAAAAAUGGAGAAAUUAUUAUCACGUGAAGGGAUUAUAAGUAAUAAAGUUGGAGAAGGUAGCUAUUUGUUUUCCUUCAACUUCUCUCGUCCAUUUGGGGUAAAAUUGAUGUUUAAUGAGCAGCUUGAAGUUCUGUAGUAGGCUUUAACUAGCUAGGCAUGGGACAGAAUUGAUGUUUCAUUCCGAUUUGGUGAUCGGAUAACAAAGGCUUGCAAUACUCUCUCCAACAUUCCUAAAAUGAAGUUACGUACUAGUGCCUUUUGUGGUAGAAUUGUACAGCAAAACAAAAACAAAAUAAAUAAAGUAAAGGACAGUCAGGGCCUCCUGCGAAAUCUAUCAAGUACAGUACUAAUUUGGGUACAAGUAAAAGAUGCUAU
rnacentral:lncRNA from 1 species